AACAUCCGGGUCGGAAGGAACACGUAGCACUGGUCACAUUCGGUCAUAAAACCCAGCUCGAUGUGUUAAUGACAACUGACUUCACUGCGAUUCGACAUACCAUAGAGUCCAUACAGUUGGGAGGACCAAGUCCGCUUUUUGGAGGGCUUGCGUUCGCUUUGGUGGCUGCAUUGGAAGCACAAAUUCCUUCAGCUUACCCGGAGCAUACCAAUGGCCUUGUAAUUCCCAGCCGUAUCAUUGUGAUCUCGGAU